GCGAGAGUGGUGAAAUUGGCAUACACGCUAGACUUAGGAUCUAGUGCCGAAAGGCGUAAGGGUUCGAGUCCCUUCUCUCGCA
rnacentral:tRNA from 1 species